rnacentral:rRNA from 1 species
UGGGGUGACUGCGUACCUUUUGUAUAAUGGGUCAGCGACUUAUAUUCUGUAGCAAGGUUAACCGUAUAGGGGAGCCGCAGGGAAACCGAGUCUUAACUGGGCGUUAAGUUGCAGGGUAUAGACCCGAAACCCGGUGAUCUAGCCAUGGGCAGGUUGAAGGUUGGGUAACACUAACUGGAGGACCGAACCGACUAAUGUUGAAAAAUUAGCGGAUGACCUGUGGCUGGGGGUGAAAGGCCAAUCAAACCGGGAGAUAGCUGGUUCUCCCCGAAAGCUAUUUAGGUAGCGCCUCGUGAACUCAUCUUCGGGGGUAGAGCACUGUUUCGGCUAGGGGGUCAUCCCGACUUACCAACCCGAUGCAAACUACGAAUACCGAAGAAUGUUAUCACGGGAGACACACGGCGGGUGCUAACGUCCGUCGUGAAGAGGGAAACAACCCAGACCGCCAGCUAAGGUCCCAAAGUCAUGGUUAAGUGGGAAACGAUGUGGGAAGGCACAGACAGCCAGGAUGUUGGCUUAGAAGCAGCCAUCAUUUAAAGAAAGCGUAAUAGCUCACUGGUCGAGUCGGCCUGCGCGGAAGAUGUAACGGGGCUAAACCAUGCACCGAAGCUGCGGCAGCGAC